GAUGAACGCUAGCGGCAGGCCUAAUACAUGCCAGUCGGACGGGAUUCAGGAGCUUGCUUCUGAUGAGAGUGGCGCACGGGUGCGUAACACGUAUGUAACCUACCUUUAUCAGGGGGAUAGCCUCUCGAAAGAGAGAUUAAGCCCGCAUAAAAUCACAGCACAGCAUUGUGUAAUGAUCAAAUAUUUAUAGGAUAAAGAUGGGCAUGCGGAACAUUAGCUAGAUGGCGGGGUAACGGCCCACCAUGGCGACGAUGUUUAGGGGAUCUGAGAGGAUGGCCCCCCACACGGGUACUGAGACACGGACCAGACUCCUACGGGAGGCAGCAGUAAGGAAUAUUGGUCAAUGGGCGGAAGCCUGAACCAGCCAUGCCGCGUGCAGGAAGACGGCCCUACGGGUUGUAAACUGCUUUUAUACGGGAAUAAACCCAGAUACGUGUAUCUGGCUGAAUGUACUGUAAGAAUAAGGAUCGGCUAACUCCGUG
rnacentral:rRNA from 1 species